rnacentral:rRNA from 1 species
UACGGAGGGAGCUAGCGUUAUUCGGAAUUACUGGGCGUAAAGCGCACGUAGGCGGUUUUGUAAGCCAGAUGUGAAAUCCCCGGGCUCAACCUGGGAACUGCAUUUGGGACUACAAGGCUAGAGUGUGUCAGAGGGGGGUAGAAUUCCACGUGUAGCAGUGAAAUGCGUAGAGAUGUGGAGGAAUACCGAUGGCGAAGGCAGCCCCCUGGGAUAACACUGACGCUCAUGCACGAAAGCGUGGGGAGCAAACAGG